GAUGAAGAACGCAGCGAAAUGCGAUAAGUAAUGUGAAUUGCAGAAUUCAGUGAAUCAUCGAAUCUUUGAACGCACAUUGCGCCCGCCAGUAUUCUGGCGGGCAUGCCUGUUCGAGCGUCAUUACAACCCUCAGGCCCCCGGGCCUGGCGUUGGGGAUCGGCGGAGCCCCCCGUGGGCACACGCCGUCCCCCAAAUACAGUGGCGGUCCCGCCGCAGCUUCCAUCGCGUAGUAGCUAACACCUCGCGACUGGAGAGCGGCGCGGCCACGCCGUAAAACACCCAACUCUUCUGAAGUUGACCUCGAAUCAGGUAGGAAUACCCGCUGAACUAAAGCAUAUCAAUAAGCGGAGGA
rnacentral:misc_RNA from 1 species